rnacentral:misc_RNA from 1 species
AAAAUAAUCCUACCCUUUGUGAAUUUUGUUUGUUUGAAUAAUUUUUUUUUUUAAAAAAUUAUUGGAGUCUUUCCCUUUAGAGUUUGCUUUUGAGUUUGUAAAAGAAUUCGAAAACAUCUAAAGGGGAUGGUCAAUAAUUUUUUUGAAAAAAGACAUUUUUUAAAAUUAAACUUUUUGUAUUCAUUUGUCUAAAAAUUAUUUUUAUAAUAUAAAAACAACUUUUGACAAUGGAUCUCUUGGUUCUCGCAACGAUGAAGAACGCAGCAAAAUGCGAUAAGUAGUGUGAAUUGCAGAAUACGUGAAUCAUCGAAUCUUUGAACGCAUAUUGCACUUUUUUAGUUUACUAAAAAAGUAUGUCUGUUUGAGUAUCAGUAAAAUAUUCUCAUAAAAAUCAUUGUAUUUUUAUGGUUAUGAGUGUUUUACAACGAUACAAGUUGUUUCACUUUAAAUUUUUUUUUAAUAUUGAAAUUUUUCUAAUUUUAAUAAUUAAAAUUGGAUAAAAUUUUCCCGUCAAAAGGAAUAACCUAAACAAUUUCAAAUGAUUAAUUUUAGCAAAAUUUUCGAAAAAAAGGAAAAUUUUUAUUAAAAUAACUUGAUCUCAAAUCAGAUAAGAGUACCCGCUGAACUUAAGCAUAUCAAUAAGCGGAGGAAAAGAAACUAACAAGGAUUCCCUUAGUAACGGCGAGUGAAGCGGGAAGAGCUCAAAUUUGAAAUCUUCAAGGUUUUACCUUGACGAAUUGUAGUUUAAAGAAGUGUUUUCUGCUGAAGUUUUGGUAAAAGUUCUUUGGAAUAGGACAUCAUAGAGGGUGAGAAUCCCGUAUUUGACCAUUAUUUUCAGCUUUGUGAUACACUUUCAAAGAGUCGGAUUGUUUGGGAAUGCAGUCCAAAAUGGGUGGUAAAUUUCAUCUAAAGCUAAAUAUUGGCGAGAGACCGAUAGCGAGCAAGUACCGUGAGGGAAAGAUGAAAAGAACUUUGAAAAGAGAGUUAAACAGUACGUGAAAUUGUCAAAAGGGAAGCGUUUGACACCAGUGUUGUUUUCUCGAAAAUCAAUUAAAAAUGGCUCGAUUUUGUAUUGCUUGAGACCUUAAAAGCUCACUGUACAUUUUUCGUGUCUUUUUAAUGCACUUUUCGUUUAACAAGUCAACAUCAGUUUCUUUUGUUGUAAAAGGGUCAUUGGAAGGUGGCUUUCUUUUCGGAGAAAGUGUUUAUAGCCUUUGGCUUCUGCAAUCGGAGAGACUGAGGUCUGCAGCGUAGACUCUUCGGGGUUAGAUACAUUUGUGCUAAGUUAUAGCUUUUUAUAGACAACUUGUUGACUAUAAUUAGUCUUGUAGCUUACUCGCUUAUGCUAUUUUACCUACGCUUAGGAUG